rnacentral:rRNA from 1 species
CCUACGGGACGCAGCAGUGGGGAAUAUUGCACAAUGGGCGCAAGCCUGAUGCAGCCAUGCCGCGUGUGUGAAGAAGGCCUUCGGGUUGUAAAGCACUUUCAGCGGGGAGGAAGGCGCCAAGGUUAAUAACCUUGGCGAUUGACGUUACCCGCAGAAGAAGCACCGGCUAGCUCCGUGCCAGCAGCCGCGGUAGUACGGAGGGUGCAAGCGUUAAUCGGAAUUACUGGGCGUAAAGUGCACGCAGGCGGCCUGUCAAGUCGGAUGUGAAAUCCCCGGGCUCAACCUGGGAACUGCAUUCGAAGCUGGCAGGCUAGAGUCUUGUAGAGGGGGGUAGAAUUCCAGGUGUAGCGGUGAAAUGCGUAGAGAUCUGGAGGAAUACCGGUGGCGAAGGCGGCCCCCUGGACAAAGACUGACGCUCAGGUGCGAAAGCGUGGGGAGCAAACAGGAUUAGAUACCCUCGUAGUC